CUAAGUGAGCUACUUUAAAGCAGCUAUUAGAGCUAACCCGUCUCUGUCGCAAAAGAGUGGGGUGACUUUAAAGUAGAGGUGAUAGACCUACCGAACUUAGAGAUAGCUGGUUUUUUAAGAAAAGAAUUUUAGUUCAGCCCCAAGCCUUUCGUUAAGCAAAAAACCUUCUUAGGCCUGGGAGUCAUUCAUAUAGGGCACAGCCUAUUUGAAACAGGAUACAACCUAGAAUAUAGGGUAAAACAAUGUGAUUUUUCUAUAAGUGGGCUUGAAAGCAGCCACCUUUCAAAAAGCGUUGUAGCUUAUUGAUACUGAUUAUUUAAUAACCUCAAAAAUGUUUAACCCACACACACUAUUAAACUAUCCCAUAAAUUUAUGGGAGCUAUCAUGCUAGAACAAGUAACAAGAAAAAGAUUUUUCUCCAAAAUACAAGCUUUAGCCGCUACAGACAAACUACCGGCAAUUAACGCCUUUUAACUAAUUUAGUAACUCUAACAAG
rnacentral:rRNA from 1 species